ensembl:lncRNA
UUCUAGAGGUUUCUCUAUUGUGAUAUUUCCCUCUGAGCCUGCUUCUUUUGUGAUGGGAUUGUACCAGGGGUUUCUACAUACUGAGAGAAAGCUGUAAGAAGUCUGGGUAAGCAAGUCACCUGAUGUCUGUAUAUAAUUUGGAAGAUAUGAAAUGACAGCUAAUGAGCAAUUUCUAAAUGGCUAGACUGGAUAACUCUGCUUUAGACACUGCCUGAUGUUGAUGUACUGGCAGAAAUCAUUUACCUGUGUAACUGAGAGCACAACUCAAGAAGUGUUUCCUGCUGCUGAAGUCUUUCAAAAAUCAGAAAAUGAAUAAAAUACAAGAGUAGAACAGUAAAAUGCAAUAAGGCCUGUUGCAAUGGAGAGGGGGCCUGUGGCUUAAAGGUUUGCUGACUUCUUAAUGUACAUCAGGACAGGUAACUCAUGAUGAUUUCUCUCCUGAAUAUUCUGGUAGGAAAAAAUGAUCCCAGACUCAGGGCAGAACCUUGGAGUUUUGCCUCAAUUACCAGCUGAACUUUCUCUAAAACUGUUAGCAGGCAUUUGAUUCAGAAUGUAUUAUUUUCCUUCUUCCUUGCUGGUAGUUAACACAGUUGUCCCUAAUUUUGGUUGUUGCUUCUGAUAAUAGCUCUUAGCUCCAAAGCUGAUUUUAAAAGAAUCUGUUGAUUGUUAUUUUCUUAGAGUUCUAUUGUAGAGUAUACGUUCUUUUUAUUCGUUCCUCUUUUUUUUUUAAGUUUGGAAGAAUUUAAAUGUAAUAACUGUGAAGUGAAAAUAUUCUAAACUGCAAAAUCUUCAUUUUAGCCACCUGUAUGCCAUGUGUGCUCUAGGUGGGGUUGCUAUGAUGACUUAUAAGCUAUAGAUCCAUAUGCAUAGAAUUGACAAUACUUAAUUAUUCUGAUAUAAGUUAAUCGUGUUCACCUUUCGUGUGCACAAAGUACACUGUAAAAGCAUUGAUUCUUAAGUUUUAUGAAGGAAUUGUUUUUAAGCUGCUGACACAGAGUGAGUUGGGCCUGUGCACUUUACCUAACAGGUUUACAUAUGUAUAUACUAACUACCAAAAAAUGGCAAUACAGAAUAAAUGGAACAAUGAAGCAGAAUUUAAGCAGAAUUGAAGCUAUCUUAUGAAUUGUUAACGCUAGCUAAUCUAAAGUAGAAUAAAACAAUCCU